GUGCGAGUAGUAUUUUUUAAAAAGUGGCAUUAUGAAUUAUAAUAUAAUUUUGAUAAGAAUUAACAAAAUGAUAAGACCAGUGUUCGGUCAACAACCAAUAAAUACACAUUUAACAUGACAAUUCGUUUUUUUUUUUAAAUUUGGAAACUUAUCCUCCAUAGCGGGGUCUACGAAACAAAGUGUUAAAUUGUUUUGUGAGAAAAUUGGAAAAAAUAACAUUUCUUAAAUGAAACCUCUUCUAAAAACUAUAAGAUUCUUUUUUCUAUAAUCUUAAACACUUGAUUACAGUUAAUUGUUAAUGACGUUUCAAUAAAACCUUGACCAGCCAAAAAAUUUAUAGAUUAUACUUUAAAAUUCCGAAACUGAAAUAAAUAAUGAAAUUUUUUUAAAAAUUUAGAAAUUUAUAAUAAAUUUUCAUCUUUAAUAAAUCUACAUGAUUUAAGAAUCAAAUCGUAGUUUGUACGAUCAUUAAGAAAACUUUUAUUUUUGUUGUAUUUUUCUUUUCAAGUUUGACUUAAGUGAAAGUAUUUUGUAUGAAUUUUAUUUUCCUGGAGCACUUUGAGUUAAAAAAAACUUGAAUUACUUAAUAUCUCAUCUCUUAUUCUUCGCACAGAGCGCAACAACUGGGAAACAAACAAAAACGAUGACAACAAAAACAACAAGGCAAAUAAAUUAACUAAUAAUGAUGAGAAUAACUCUGCUGGCCUUUAAACUUUUCGUUGGCAAUUACACCAUAAUUUGCAAACCCAUUGAACGGUAUUGCGGGCGGCGAGCACAGACACAUUAACUGGAAGUGGGAAUGAUUCAUGGUGUCUAAUUAAAAAAAUAUUAUACAAAGUAGAACAACAAUAUGCUUGGCAUGCAUAUACUAAUAACAACAUACUACUAAAUAAGCAAUGAAUGAGUAUGUCACUUUUAAACAAUGUAUCCAUGCGGAUAAAAAUAUUAUAUAUGGUCUAGCCAGCCGUUUGCUCAAAUAUCCCAAAAAUAAAAUUUCUUUAUCUUCCACAAUCACUUAAAAAUGUAUUUCAUACUUUUUUUG